UAUUGGACAAUGGGCGAAAGCCUGAUCCAGCCAUGCCGCGUGAGUGAUGAAGGCCCUAGGGUUGUAAAGCUCUUUCAGCGGGGAAGAUAAUGACGGUACCCGCAGAAGAAGCCCCGGCUAACUUCGUGCCAGCAGCCGCGGUAAUACGAAGGGGGCUAGCGUUGUUCGGAAUUACUGGGCGUAAAGCGCGCGUAGGCGGAUUGCUAAGUCAGGGGUGAAAUCCCGAGGCUCAACCUCGGAACUGCCUUUGAUACUGGCUGUCUUGAGUCCGGGAGAGGUAAGUGGAAUUCCUAGUGUAGAGGUGAAAUUCGUAGAUAUUAGGAAGAACACCAGUGGCGAAGGCGGCUCACUGGCCCGGUACUGACGCUCAUGUGCGAAAGCGUGGGGAGCAAACAGG
rnacentral:rRNA from 1 species